CAUUAAAAUAAGAAAAGAAAGAGGCUGCUUUUUCUUUUCAUAACAACUAUAUAUAUGUAGAUAGUCAGGGUGUCAAAGAUUCUCAAAAGCCAAAAUUCUUGAACAUGGCAGAAAUAAGCUUAGAACGAGCUCAAGAAUCCAUUGUCAAUCGACAACAGGAAUUGAAAGCUUUCGAUGAAACAAAAUCAGGAGUGAAAGCGCUGGUAGAUUCGGGCUUGUCAAAGAUUCCAACGAUUUUCACCGACGAACAGUACAAGCUUGAGAGAAACAACAUCCACAACCAGAAACCUGGAAGCCCCACCAACAAUGACGGAAUCCCAAUCAUAAACUUGACCGGUGUCGACGAUAAUCCAAAUUUACGUCGCGAAAUAGUGAAGAAAGUUGGAGAAGCUUGCGAGAAAUGGGGUUUCUUUCAAGUUAUCAACCAUGGGAUUCCGUUGGCUACUACGGAUGAAAUGAUAAACGGGGUUCGCAGGUUUCAUGAACAGGAUGACGAAGCUAAGAAAGAGAUUUAUUCUCGAGAUUAUUCCAAGAAAGUGUAUUAUAACAGUAACAUCGAUCUUUACAAGGCGGAAGCAACCAAUUGGAGGGAUACUUUGUGUUGUGUUAUGGCACCUCGCCACCCUCUUCCUCAAGAACUGCCUGCAAUUUGCAGAGAUAUAAUGAUAGAAUAUUCAAGCAAAAUGAUGAAAUUAGGGCAGACUUUGUUAGAAUUGAUGUCGGAAGCCUUGGGUUUGAAUCGGAGUUAUUUGGAAGAUAUUGGGUGCGGUGAGGGAAUGUUUGUGAAAGGCCAUUACUAUCCACCGUGCCCUGAACCGGACUUGACAUUGGGCACCAGCAGUCACACCGAUACCGGCUUCUGCACCGUAAUUUUACAAGAUGAAAUCGGCGGACUUCAAAUCCUCUAUCAAAAUCAAUAGCUUGAUAUUAAUCCUGUCCGGGGAGCUCUUGUUGUAAAUUUGGGCGAUAUGAUGCAGUUAAUAGCUAAUGACAAAUUUGUAAGUAUUGAGCAUAGAGUGCUUGCUAAUAAAAAAGGUCCAAGAAUUUCAGUAGCAAGUUUCUUUAGAACACAACUUCCACCAGAGAAUACCUCGAGGCUUUAUGGACCAAUCAAGGAGUUGACAUCUCAAGAAAACCCUCCACUCUAUAAGGAGACUACUAUGAAGGACUUUGUGGCAAAUUACUGCUCGAAAGCAAUUCAUUGCAAAUCUCUCCAAUACCUUAGGUUAUGAGUUGUUGGUGAACUACUUUCAAGUUUAUUUCCAUCUUUCAAGUGCCAAAUCAUUUUGGAACUAUUUGAGUCCGAAACUUUACUUCAAUAAGACAGUGAAAUGAAUUAUGUAUUUCUAGAUUAUUGUGUUGCUUGUAAACUUAAUCGAACUACUUUUAAGUUUAUUUCCAUCUUUCAAGUGCCAAAUCAUUUUGGAACUAUCCAAGUCCAAAACUUUACUUCAAUAAGGCAAUGAAAUGAAUUAUGUAUUUAUAGAUUA